rnacentral:rRNA from 1 species
GAGUUUGAUCCUGGCUCAGGACGAACGCUGGCGGCGUGCUUAACACAUGCAAGUCGAACGAUGAAGCCCAGCUUGCUGGGUGGAAGAGUGGCGAACGGGUGAGUAACACGUGAGCAACCUGCCCUUCACUCUGGGAUAAGCACUGGAAACGGUGUCUAAUACUGGAUAUGCACAAUGGCCGCAUGGUCUGUUGUGGGAAAGAUUUAUCGGUGAAGGAUGGGCUCGCGGCCUAUCAGCUUGUUGGUGAGGUAAUGGCUCACCAAGGCGACGACGGGUAGCCGGCCUGAGAGGGCGACCGGCCACACUGGGACUGAGACACGGCCCAGACUCCUACGGGAGGCAGCAGUGGGGAAUAUUGGGCAAUGGAGGAAACUCUGACCCAGCGACGCCGCGUGAGGGAUGAAGGCCUUCGGGUUGUAAACCUCUUUCAGCAGGGAAGAAGCGAAAGUGACGGUACCUGCAGAAGAAGCACCGGCUAACUAUGUGCCAGCAGCCGCGGUAAUACAUAGGGUGCAAGCGUUGUCCGGAAUUAUUGGGCGUAAAGAGCUCGUAGGUCGUUUGCCGCGUCGAUUGUGAAAAUCUGAGGCUCAACCUCAGACCUGCAGUCGAUACGGGCAAACUAGAGUGUGGUAGGGGAGACUGGAAUUCCUGGUGUAGCGGUGGAAUGCGCAGAUAUCAGGAGGAACACCAAUGGCGAAGGCAGGUCUCUGGGCCAUUACUGACACUGAGGAGCGAAAGCGUGGGGAGCGAACAGGAUUAGAUACCCUGGUAGUCCACGCCGUAAACG